UACAGAGGGUGCGAGCGUUAAUCGGAAUUACUGGGCGUAAAGCGCACGUAGGUGGCGACGUAAGUCGGGUGUGAAAGCCCCGGGCUCAACCUGGGAAUUGCAUUCGAGACUGCAUUGCUGGAGUACGGAAGAGGAAGGCGGAAUUCCCGGUGUAGCGGUGAAAUGCGUAGAUAUCGGGAGGAACAUCAGUGGCGAAGGCGGCCUUCUGGUCCAGUACUGACACUCAAGUGCGAAAGCGUGGGGAGCAAGCAGG
rnacentral:rRNA from 1 species